UGUUGUUUGCUAAUUUCCAUGUCAAGAAUAUUAUUGUUUUACAUUUACGUCAAUUAGACUUGAAUUGAAUAUGAAUGUUUAUACGUACGACUUAUCUUGGUAUGUUUGUGUCGCCAUACUGUCAGGCAAAAGUUCUCGGAAACUAAUCCGGUCUGAACGUUUGUAAUCCACGGUCUUUUUACCACAUUUACGCUGACAAACUGUGUAUGACUCCACACAACGGUGAACGAGCACCACGUGUAAUUGUGUGCACAUGUCACAUUGGUGGUUAACUGUCUGUUAAAAUAAACUUUCAAACGCUGAUCUGAGAGUCCUUAUUGAGGCAGAAUAGUCUUAAUGUUUUCACUGUGCAGAUAGCACGCAUUUAGUGUUACUUGUUUAAUUUCCAAAGCAUGAUAAAUGACAUUUUUAAAAAAAUCAAAAUAAACUCAGUGAAAUGUUUGCUAGCAUAAUGAUAAUAGCCAAUAAACUAAGGAUUUUAGAUUUGUAUUUUAGUGUUCAUUUAUCUAUACUUUACGUAGAAUGAACAAUGUACAUGUAGAUUAAAACGGAUAUGAUGUAUUAUAAA